UUGACCUCGGGAGGCAGCAGUGAGGAAUAUUGGUCAAUGGACGGAAGUCUGAACCAGCCAUGCCGCGUGCAGGAAGACGGCUCUAUGAGUUGUAAACUGUUUUUGUACAAGGGUAAACCUGAAUACGUGUAUUCAGCUGAAAGUACUGAACGAAUAAGGAUCGGCUAACUCCGUGCCAGCAGCCGCGGUAAUACGGAGGAUCCAAGCGUUAUCCGGAUUUAUUGGGUUUAAAGGGUGCGUAGGCGGAUUGAUAAGUUAGAGGUGAAAUGUCCGAGCUCAACUCGGGAACUGCCUCUAAUACUGUU
rnacentral:rRNA from 1 species